UUUCCUUUUUCCACUCUUAACGAGAAGCUUUUGCCGUUCCCCUGGGAGGACACCACCCUUCGCGCCCGCCUCCCGCCCGGGGUACGCGGGGGGGGCUCCGCGGCCCCGGGAGCGCCCGCCGGCCCCGGGGGAGGCCCCGCGUCCCCCCCGCCAUUGCCAUAGCGACAGUGACCUCACACGGGGAUGGGCGAGCGGGCCGGUCGCGUAGCAACAGCCCCGGUGACAUCAGCGCCCGGCGCGGUUCCCACGGCAACCCGCGGGGCAGCGAGGGAGGCGGGGGCCGCUCGCGGGGGGACCCCGGGCCCGAGGGGCAGCGAAGGGGUCCCCCCCGCCCCACUGCCGCCGCCUCCCCGGGAUGCCCCAAGCCCCGCGGGAAAAGGGUUAAUGUGAAUAAAUCAGCAUAUCUUAGGGACGUCACCCCCCGUGCAGCCAACGGCGCGGGGGGGCAGAGCGGGAAAUGAGCCCCAGCCGGGCCCCACGGGGGUCUCGGGGGGCAAAAAGAGGCAACGGACACCCCUCGGCCGCGAAACUCUCAGCAGCACCUCAACGCGGCCCGGGAACACCAGUCCCGCCCGGGGCCCCCUUGCCGGGCAGCGGCGGAGCUGAGGCACUGCGGGCACGGCAACAGCGGCUCCUGAUGGAGAAGCACGGAAAGGUCCGGGCUCGGUGCCCCCGGGGUGGAGCGGGUGAGUCCUGGGCGAAGCACCUGCAGUGAGCCGCUUGCUGCCCCCGGGCAAGCCCACCCUUCAUCCCCGGGAGCUGCACCCUUCCCCUUCACCCCAGUGAGGGCACCUCUCACCCGGCAAACACCCUCCCAGGCCCCGCACACACUGCCGCGGCUCACAGCCUGAUGUCCCUCCAGCCUCCAGUGAGGCCAGCGAAAAGGACAGCGUUUCUGGACCCUCCAUAAACCUCCCGCCACCCUGGGCUGCCAGUCCCCGAGCUGGGAUGGCGAGGUGACGCUCGGAGAGGCGCCCGGUGUCACCGGAGGCUUUUGCAGAAGUUAAUGCCCAGCGCCACCGGUGUUCCCAGCGGGAUUAGCCGCUAGAUUGCACUCUUGCAUUGCGCAGGGCGAGGGAGCUGCAGCUCCUUGGCAGCCGGGAGCGGGAUGCUGGAGGCAGCCUGCUCACCCAAGCGCUCCCCACCACGCAGGACGCAAUUCCAAACGGGACGCGCUGCAGCAGCUGGGAGAGAGCCAGCUCCUCCGGCCCCGCCGGCAGCCAAAAAUAACCACGGCAGGGUGACUUUCAGCGGGGAAAUGAUCUGCAUGGCUCGACGGGCAGGGUGCUGCAUGCUGAAAUGCUGCUGCCUCCAGGGCAGCGACUGCUCAUCCCUUGGGAUAAAGCGGCAAGGGUCAGGGGAUGCUUUUGGUGGGGGAAGAGGACUGGAUCUGUUCUGCAGCUUGUCUGGACACAUCGUCUGGACACAUUCCCAUCAGUGGGAUAAACACCCCUUCCUGGGACAGCUGGCUCCACAGGAGAGCACCUACGUGCCAGCCACUCACCAUCCCUGGGAGAGGCUGGAUUCAUCCCCAUGACCCAGGCAUGCUGCAAAUUCCCCUCCUGCAUUUAUUUCCCUCUCGGUCACUGUGACUCACGCUCUCCAUCUGCCUGUUUACAGGCUGUUUUCCCAAGGUCCCUGCAGAGGCAAUGACUGGUUGGGAGGAACUGGGCUAUUUGCCCAGAUCCUUGAGGGAAAGCCCCCAGAAGUCUGGGAGCAGGAGGGAAGGGGCAGGGGCUGGACGCCUGCAUGCUGGGACCUCUCUUGAAGGGACAGAGGCCACUGUGUAUCCCACAGCCUGGCUACACCCACAAACUGGCUACACCCAGGAGGUCAGGGCAACGCCGGGUCUGCCACCACCAGCCCUGCCUGGCACUGCCCUGGCAGCCGGGUGCCUGCAGGGCAGGGGUGGGUACCACCCACACAGCUCCAGCUCCAAAAGGCCAAGUGUCACCAGCCUGGAAAUGGUGCCCACGCUGCCUCCCUUCAUCUCCCAUCAGCGGGGGUCUGGCAUGCCAAGCCCUCUUGGGACAGGGAUGUGCCUCAAGAGCCACAAAGGAACGGAGAGCUGAUGACAAGGGAAGGGCAGGAAGAUGGAGGGAACUCCCAAGGGCUGGCAGGUCACCCUUGAAACAGCUCGAAAGGAAGGUUCCCAGUGCGAGCAUCCCCUCUGCGCAUCCCGGCUCUGCUUCCCUGGGGAUGCUGAGGCACAGGGGAGGGGGAGCACUGAGGGGGGAGGCUGUGCUUUGUGGUUUCACGGUGCAUCUGUGCCCUUUGAAUCCCCAUGGGAAUGUGGAGGUGGUAAAAUGUCACCAGCUGGGCCGCAGGGAAGGGGGCUGGACGCAUAAAACCCCAACAAAGGGUGGCCAUUGUCUGGGGAGAGGCAGUGGGGGGCCAGUGGGGGAACCCGCUGAGUGCCCCUUGCCCCAGCCCCCACUGCCCACAGCUCAGGUGCCGAUGAAAAGGCAGCUUUAUCCCCCUGAGCCCUUGGUGGGAGGCGAUGCUGAUCCCCGGCAUCCCGGGCCAUGGCCCAAACGUGCCCCCCAGGGAAGCAGGGGGAGUGGAGGGGAGCACGGUGUGCCCCAGCCUCCUGAACCUGCUCCAGGCUGCCAGGGCUGCUCUCCUCCAUCCAGCCUCCGCUCCCACUUCCUGGCAAGCCUGACCUGCGUGGGCAGACGGGAAGAUCCCAUUCAGGCUGGAUACGCAGCCCGGCCCCCCCCCCGCCCAUCUUCUCCAUUUCAGGGCCUUUUAUGGCCAUUGCCUCAGGCAGGGCGCCGGGGCCCUGCCAGGCAGGGGGAAGGGACACUGCUGGGGUCACCUGGGGAUGCCCUGAAGGCAGCUCACCCAGGCAACCCCUGGCACUGGGUCCUCGUGUAGAACAGCAGCGUUUGUGGGGGCACUGCAUGCUGUACACUUCCAGGUUUACUUUGUGCCUGCUGCCUUGCACUGAGACAGAUGGAUCGAAGGCUACUCCCAAAUACUUGGCAAGAGCGUCACAAACUCCACAGUGGAAGAACCGUGGCACAAAAAGCCCCUUUCCCUGUCACGGAACAGGGCUGAACAGCCCAGUCAGACUUUGGGGUGAGGUCGGAAAGCUGGUGGGCACAGGUGGGUGGAGGAAGGUGAGUUCUCAUCCUCAUCCUCAUUCCUGGGCUGUCGAGAUCCCAUGCUCUACCCUGCACAGAGGCAGAGGCAAAGCACUCCCCCAGCCCUGGGAUGAAAGGUGUUCCCGCAAACAUCACCCGUCAUUUCCUCCUCUGUGGCGGGAGCUAUGGAACAGGUUCUUCAGCAGCCCCCUGGCACGGGGACAGGACAGGGAGAGGCUGGGAAAGGAGCCAGCCGAGACUUGGCACUGCCAUCCAGAACCGCCCUGCACGCCGUCGGGACAGACGCACCCCAAACCCUGGCUGUGCCAGGGGGAAGCCAAGCUGGAUGGGUGCUGGAGGGUGCUGUGUGGGCCACUAAUCUCAACCAAAACACCCUGGAAGGCAGCUGAUGGGGAAAACAUGGAUUUAGUGUGUUCACUGGGACCCAAAUCUAGCCAGCAGCUCCUACUCCACUGGCUCGGCAGUGAGAUCCUCCCAGCUGCAAACCAGGGUCCCAGCCAGGGUCUCCAUCCCUGUUCCUGAGCCAGGGGCUGCUGGAAGUGAGGGGCAGACGGGCUGGCAGCUCUGCAGCACAUGUAUCCCAGUGUGAGCCCAAGUGUGGGAGUUUACGGGGCUUUGACGCAGGAGAUGUGUGAUGGGGGAAUUGUUGCCAGGCUUGGGGAAGGAUCCAAUCACACCAGGGUGCUCUCAGCAGAUUAAGGAUUGGAAAGCUCUGGUAAUUACUUUGCAGUAUAAAAAUAGGCCUGGCUUUAUCCCUCGCCCUGAUCUCCCACUCCUGCCCCACUCCUUCCCCCCACCCAACAGCGAACUGAUGCCACACACCCCAUGAGCAUGGCAGGAGGGCACAACACAGCUGCUGGCCUGGUGCUGGGGUAAAAAAGAUGGAGAGGGGGUCUGGGAUGGGGUGGUGACAGCAGCACAGCAAUGGCAUCUGGAUGGCACGUGCAAACUGUGAGGAUCAGGAGACUGGGAGAGGAGCCGGGGCACGCACAGAGGCGUCCCCACACACUGCGAGGCUUUGUGCCAGGGAAGCAAGAGCCUGGAGACAUCAGCAGAGCAGAUGUCUGCUCGGGAGAGGACCACGUCUGUGGGACCAUCUGACACAAAGAGGGAACACGGCUCCGGCACUGGCCAUCACCACGUGCUGGUGGCUCCAGCAGGACCCAAGAGAAGGCUGCUCCAUGCACAGGGAAUGGAGCAGCAUGGAUUGACUCGGGGCAGUUCCCAGAUCUCCGAUUUCCCUUUGCUGGGGUCUGGGAACACGUGGUGGUUGGAAUCACAGGGACAAAGCAUGUGGAAAACACUCCAGGAUAUGCAGUCCCACCUGCCUUCCCACCUUCCCCCACAGCAGCUCUGGCCAAUCUGCGUCUCACAGCAAAGUCAAAACAUGAACUCUCCCUCUUGUCCCCAUCCUUGCAGAGCGGUGUAUUCCUUUGCCAGAGCCUGGCUGGCCCAAGCCAAAGCAAAAGCUGCUCCCUGCACCCUCCCUGCGAGGCCUCUGCAGCACCCAGCACGCAGGCAAAGCACUCGGCAGCACUGCAGGCAGCACUGCAGGCAGCAGAGCACGCAGGAGCCUGUAACCUGGCAGCGAGCCCCAGCAUGUUCCAUGCAGCCCGUUCAGCCCCGCGGGCUCCCACCCACCCCGGCCCCGCCGGGGAAACGGCUCAGCUGCAUCCAGAGGCUUCUGGAUGGGGGGCAGCAGCUGCCAGCCCCAUUCCAGGCCGUGCAAACCCCGGGCCAGUGGAGCAGUGCUAUAAAUAUCUCCCCUUGCGAGACCCGGUCACGCAGCCGAGAUGGCGUAAGGGGAAGGAAGCGCUGCCCUCCUGCAGGUCUCAGAGCCUCGGAGCCUGCACAGCCCAGCCCUGCUGCCCGGAGUCCCCCCAUGUCCUGGCUGUCCUGGUUCAUGGCCAGGGCACCGGCGUGCAGAGCCCAGAGGUGGCUGGCACAGCGGUGUGCAGAUCAUGUGGGCAGGCACAGGUGGCAUUUCUGCCACCAGCACAGAGAGUGGCAAAUGCCAGCCCCACGGAUCCCCCAGCUGCCCCCAAUCCUCCUUUGCAAGCACGACACCCCUAAACCCACCUUGAACAGUACCGCAAGUGCCCUGCAUGAGACCCCCACGCCCACCUAGACAUUCACCCCUUCCUGCUGCACCCCCUGACCCAGAUGCAAAUCCUGCAGCCCCUCUGUGCCAUUAAACCUGCGGUAGGAUGACUGGAGGGGGCACAAACCCCUCAGACACGGCUGCAACCCCUGUUCCCUGCAGAGCCCCCAGCCCUGAGCAGCCCCCAGCCCGGGGAGGGGGGGAAAUGCUGCCCUGGCACACCCAGCCCUCGCACCACGCACCGUCGCCCCCAGCCCAGUUUGCAGACGAUCGACGCUCCCCUCCCGCCGGUACUUUUCCAUACACACCCUCCACGGUCCUUUGUUCUGUGCAAUCCCGGGUCCGGGCCGCUCUCGGCAUGGGGGUUGCAUACACCCCCUGCCCUCCCCGCAUUCACCCUCCAGCCGAUCCCCCCUGGGUGUCCCCCUGCCCUCGGAGGGGGCGCGGGCGAGGGUCCCGGGACUCGGGGGGCUGAGCUCCGGCCCGGCCGUCCCCGCCCGCUUGCCUGGCUGCGGCCGCUGCCUCCUUCGCCUGUGCCCGGAGCCGAGACACCGGAGCCGCCGGGGUGCGGGCAGCGGAGCCUUCCAAUGGUACCGGAGCCGCCCGGGGCGCCGGAGCCGCCCGCGGGUACGGGAGGUGCCGAGCUGCCCGGGUGCGGAGCCGGGGCCGGCGGAGCCCGCCG